rnacentral:misc_RNA from 1 species
AUCGCCGCUUCACCAGACCAGACAUUAGCCUUUCUAUCCUAUCCCCUGUCUCUCAUCCCAGCAAACAUAAAAGAAAUUACAGAGAGCAGAGAUCCAUGAUAAUGACGCCUUGUACUUUGAGGAGCUUCUGCUUCCACCUUCAACUGCUAAGGCCAUUAAGAUUUUUCACCAUUCAAUCUCCAACCCUAUUCUUUCCCUAUUCUUUCCGGUCUUCUACUCCUACUUUCACUGCCACACCUCAAGAUGGACGUUUCUUCAUAUGUAAGUUCAAAUCUGCUUCUUUUACCCACCUUGAUGAUGCCUUAGCUUCUUUUAAUCACGUUAUUCAUAUGCAUCCUCUGCCUUCUAGGGUUCAAUUUAAUCGAUUUUUGUCUGCUCUUGUGAGAAUGAAACUGUAUGACACUGUCGUGUCCUUGUCCAAAAAAAUUGAAUUGCUAGGGAUCUCACACAAUGUCUAUUCCCUUAGCAUCUUGAUUAAUUGCUUCUGCCAUUUGCACCUUGUGGGUUUUGGGUUCUCAGUUUUAGGGAAAAUUAUUAAGUUUGGAUUUCAGCCCACGGUUGUAACGUUGAAUACCUUAAUUAAUGGACUAUGUAUAGAGGGUAAAAUUGUUCAAGCAGUGGAACUGUUAGAUGAGAUGGUGGCAAGAGGGUAUCAACCUACUGUAUAUACUCAUACAAUGAUAGUAAAUGGGUUAUGUAAAAUUCGGAAAACAAGCAUGGCUAUUGGUUGGAUGAAGAAAAUGGUCGAGAGAGGUUGUGAGCCAGAGGUGGUGGCAUACAGUACUAUCAUUGACAGCCUUUGCAAGGAUAGGCUAGUUAUUGAGGCUUUAGAGCUCUUCUCUCAAAUGAAGAGUAUAGGAAUUUCACCUACAGUUGUCACUUACAACUCCUUAAUUUAUGGUAUGUGCAAUUUGGGCCAAUGGAAGCAAGCAUCAACACUAUACAAAGAAAUGCCAGAGUGGAACAUCACACCAGAUGUAGUUACCUUAAGUAUAUUGAUUGAUGCACUUUGUAAGGAAGGAAUUGUUUUGGAGGCACAAGGUUUUUUUGGUAAAAUGAUUCAAAGGGGCAUGAAGCUUGAUGUUAUCACUUACAGCUCCUUAAUCCAUGGUCUUUGCAGUUCAAGCCAAUGGAAGGAAUCUUCAACUUUGUUGAAUGAAAUGCUCACGCAAAACAUCACUCCUGAUGUUGUAACCUUCAGUAUAUUAGUCGAUGUGUUUUGCAAGAAAGGAAUGGUCUUAGAGGCUCUAGGUAUUUUCAAUAUAAUGAUCCACAGAGGUAUAAAGCCCACUGUUGUUACUUACAAUUCAUUGAUAGAUGGAAAUUGUCUUCAAAACCAAAUUGAUGAGGCCAGAAAAUUAUUUAAUGUGAUGGUCAGCAAGGGUUGUGCAACUGAUGUUCUUACUUAUAACAUCCUGAUUAAAGGAUACUGUAAGAUUUAUAGAAUAGAAGAGGCAAAGCAACUUUUUGAUGAAAUGCCUCACAAAGGGUUAAUUCCUAACUCUAUUACUUAUACUACUCUCAUAAGGGGCUUAUGCCAGGCAGGGAGGCCUCAUACUGCAGAAGAGCUUUUCAGGGAAAUGAUUUCUCAUGGCUGUCCUCCAGACAUAAUAACAUACUCAACCUUGCUUGAUGGCUUCUGCAAACAAGGGCAUCUCGAUGAGGCAUUGACACUAUAUGAAGAUAUGAAAAGGAGCCGGAUGAAGCCUAAUCACGUGAUCUAUGAUAUCCUGAUUGGUGGUAUGUGCAAAGCUGGCAGGCUUGAAGCUGCAAAGGAACUUGUUUCUGGUCUUUCGGUUGAAGGGUUGCAGCCUGAUUUUUGAACAUAUAUUAUGAUGAUCAAUAGCUUCUACUAAGAAGUAUUACUAGAUGAAGCAGACAAGGUCCUCUAAAAUGGAAGAGGAUGGCUGCACACUAGAUAGUUGCUCUUAUAAUGUGAUUAUCCAAGGAUUUCUUCACUACAAUGGUGCAUCAAAAGGCAGCAGAAUUCAUUCAUGAUGGUUUGCAAGGGAACUUCUGCAAAUGCAACCACAACAGGCUUGGUAGUGGAGCUUUUUCUAGUGAUGAUAUUGUUGUGGAAAAGCUACUAGGGUUUUCUCAUGUUGAACAAGGUAGGUGAAGUGAGACAUUCAUAUUUAACGCCUCUUCAACGAAAGCAACAAAUUGCAAGGAGCUUCAAUCUUCUGUAAGUUAUUUUUUCUUCAAUCUCUUUUAACAUGAAAACAAUGUUGCUAAUUAGUUGAUUUUGCUCUGUAGAGAAAUUUGUUAGGACUAGCACACACACCUUAUGUUAGAGGUUGUGCAGAUGAUAGCAUUGCAAUAAAUUAGUGUUUCCUAAAUGCAAAGGGCCAAUUGAUAUAGCAUCCAAACUCUAUUAAUUGAAAAAGUUACUGAGCAUUGUCUACAUCUAAAAACUUACUGUUUUCUCCCUGAUUUUUUUUUGAACAGCUUUUGCAAAUUUAUCAAAAGAGAUUCCUUUUCCCAAGAUUUUGAGGCUUAUCAAUUUGUGGCAUUGUGGCCAUUUCAUAUGUGGAAUAUAUGCCUGCAUUAUUUGGUAUAUUCCAUAUUUGUUGAUUUGCAUCAACGUCGACUCCUAAUAAACAAGUUUCUCAAGUAUUUUGGGGAUCUAACCUAUGCAUAUUCAUUUACUGCAGCAAAAUGUCCAGGUAAUCCACUGGGGCACAAAUUCUGGGUAAAAUGGCCAAAUAAUUUUAUGGAAUAAUUCAAUAACUUUGAAUAAUUAUGGCUUUUUUUAUAACAUUGGUACUGAUAAUAUCUAUGCUUGCACUUACCCUUAAAAUCAUUUUGUACAAGUUGACAUAAGUAGCUCAAAUUUCCAGCAUGCAUAGAAAUCUACAAAGGACAUGGUGAUUAUGGUUAAUUAUUUUCUAUGUGCGUCUCUUCUAUACUUAUUUUGGAAUUUGAGUCUCUAAUAUAAAGCUUUGAACUUCUACCCAGUUUUCUUUACUAUUAUGUCUUUAAUUGAUAUGCGUGCAGGAACUAAAAACUAAUGGAGGAAAAAAAUUCCUUCUUAGCAUGCCCUAACAGGGACCUGUUUAGGCCUUUAUGGUUGCAGAACUUUCAUGGAACUUUCAUAAAUAGUUUCUACAAGUUGAUACUGAUGGUUUUUCAUGCACAAAAGUGUUUCAGAAAAUUAAAGACAAGGUGACAUAAAUAUUAUUAAUUCAAGUCAAAGAAUGGGUUAGUAUCUCUUCUGUUUGUUUCAUUCCAACUCUUACUCAUAUCUCCUUCAGCAGCGUGAGUGCCAGUUUGCUACUUUCUGGAUGGAGAUCAAAGACAAUGAUCAUAAUAAUGAUAUGGCAAAGUAUUUUAGUAGCUGCUCCGGCUUCAGCUUUGACGAGCUUUCUUUUUCAACAAGAAGUGGAAAUGGGUAUGAUUUGCUUUCCUACCUUAUUAUUUAUUUAUAAUUACAUGCCCUUCUAUUAAAGAUUGGUUUGACAAAUUUGAGUUCCAGCCGUUGAAAUGAAUGGAAUUGAUAAGAACUGCAUAAUAAUUAUAGUCUUUACAUCUUGAUCGAUUGGAAAACAAAAAGGAUUUUAUCUCUCCUGUUAGGGCGGAAGAUACUUGCACUUUCUGGGCUUUGGAUUCUCUGUACUGGGGAGAAUCCUUUAAGCUCAACAUUGUAAUAUUAUUAUUGGAUAUGUGUAAAGAUCAAAUUGCUCAAGCAAUAGAAUUAUUUGAUGGGACGGCGACCAGGGGAUAUCAAGUCUAAUGUUUCUGCCUAUUCUGCAAUUGUGAAUGGUCUGUGGAAAAUUGGGAAAACCAACAUUGCUAUUUGAUUGUUGAAGAAAAUUGUAGAGAGAGGAAGUGACAAGCAAUGUCAUCGACUGUAUAACUGUGGACUUAUUGUGUGAUCCUCAAAGUGAAACCCCUAGUGGCAUGGUUAACGUUGGCGGAAACGAUGGUAUUAUUUCUAUUACUGGUUUAGAAUUCUUUGUUUAAUUGUAACUUGUAACAGUUUCUAUGAAAGCCGACUUCUAUUGGUAUAAAUUUAACGAUGACUGUGAAUAGUUUACCUUUAG